GGUUCGAUCAUGGCUCAGUUGAACGCUGGCGGGAUGCUUUACAUGCAAGAAGUCGAACGGCAGCACGGACUUCGGUCUGGUGGCGAGUGGCGAACGGGUGAGUAAUGUAUCGGAACGUGCCUAGUAGCGGGGGAUAACUACGCAGCGUAGCUAAUACCGCAUACGCCCUUCGGGGAAAGCGGGGGACCUUCGGGCCUCGCACUAUUAGAGCGGCCGAUAUCGGAUUAGCUAGUUGGUGGGGUAACGGCUCGCAAGGCGACGAUCCGUAGCUGGUUUUCAGAGGACGACCGCCACACUGGGACUGAGACACGGCCCAGACUCCUACGGGAGGCAGCAGUGAGGUAUUUUGGACAAUGGGAAACCCUGAUCCAGCCAUCCCGCGUGUGCGUGUUGAGGCCUUCCGGGUUGUAAAAGCACUUUUGGCAGGGAAAGAAGCGGCGCAGGAUAAUACCCCGUGCAACUGACGUGCCCUGCAGAAUAAGCACCGGCUAACUACGUGCCGUAUGCACCGGUAAUACGUAGGGUGCAAGCGUUAAUCGGAAUUACUGGGCGUAAAGCGUGCGCAGGCGGUUCGGAAAGAAAAGAUGUGAAAUCCCAGAGCUGCUUUGGAACUGCAUUUUUAGCUACCGAGCUAGAGUGUGUCAGGAGGUGGAAUUCCGCGUCGCCAGCAGUGAAAUGCGUAGAUAUGCGGAGGAACACCGAUGGCGAAGGCGGCCUCCUGGGAUAACACUGACGCUCAUGCACGAAAGCGUGGGAGCCGACAGGUUGAAUGCCCUGGUAGUC
rnacentral:misc_RNA from 1 species